rnacentral:rRNA from 1 species
GAUGAACGCUGGCGGCGUGCCUAAUACAUGCAAGUCGAGCGAACAGACGAGGACCUUGCUCCUCUGACGUUAGCGGCGGACGGGUGAUUAACACGUGGAUAACCUACCUUUAAGACUGGGAUAACUUCGGGAAACCGGAGCUAUUACCGGAUAAUAUAUUGAACCGCAUGGUUCAUUAGUGAAAGACGGUUUUGCUGUCCCUUUUAGAUGGUUCCGCGCCGCAUUAGCUAGUUGGUAAGGUAACGGCUUACCAAGGCAACGAUGCGUAGCCGACCUGAGAGGGUGAUCGGCCACACUGGAACUGAGACACGGUCCAGACUCCUACGGGAGGCAGCAGUAGGGAAUCUUCCGCAAUGGGCGAAAGCCUGACGGAGCAACGCCGCGUGAGUGAUGAAGGUCUUCGGAUCGUAAAACUCUGUUAUUAGGGAAGAACAAAUGUGUAAGUAACUAUGCACGUCUUGACGGUACCUAAUCAGAAAGCCACGGCUAACUACGUG